UACGUAGGAGACGAGCGUUGUCCGGAGUUACUGGGCGUAAGGGUGCGCAGGUGGCGGCGCGCGUGGGGGUGAAAUCGCCCGGCUUAACUGGGCGGGGCCUUCCAGACGGCGUGGCUUGAGCAGCGGAGGGGGACGUGGAAUUCCGGGUGGAGCGGUGAAAUGCGUAGAGAUCCGGAGGAACACCGACGGCGCAGGCAGCGUCCUGGCCGCUUGCUGACACU
rnacentral:rRNA from 1 species